AGAAGUCGCGCCCACUUUUGACGCAAGGCCUCAUGGGGCGUAGGAAACUUGUGGAUACAACUAGACUGUCAACAUACUCUACUGAGUUUAACUGAGUAUAAGUGUGAGCUGCUCUGUUCAGUUAAGCAUACUCAUCUUCUCCACUAACUCAAGGAAAAGGCAUAAGAAGGAAAAGAAGACGAUCAGGAUGACGAAGAGGACCGAAGAAGUGAGACAGAUUAGACAGGAAGAAAAAACAGCGCAGUCUCAUCCCAAGACGUCA